rnacentral:rRNA from 1 species
GAUGAACGCUAGCUACAGGCUUAACACAUGCAAGUCGAGGGGAAACGAUAUUGGAAGCUUGCUUCCGAUAGGCGUCGACCGGCGCACGGGUGAGUAACGCGUAUCCAACCUGCCCAUCACUUGGGGAUAACCUUGCGAAAGUAAGACUAAUACCCAAUGACGUCUCUAGAAGACAUCUGAAGGAGAUUAAAGAUUUAUCGGUGAUGGAUGGGGAUGCGUCUGAUUAGCUUGUUGGCGGGGUAACGGCCCACCAAGGCGACGAUCAGUAGGGGUUCUGAGAGGAAGGUCCCCCACAUUGGAACUGAGACACGGUCCAAACUCCUACGGGAGGCAGCAGUGAGGAAUAUUGGUCAAUGGACGAGAGUCUGAACCAGCCAAGUAGCGUGCAGGAUGACGGCCCUAUGGGUUGUAAACUGCUUUUAUAAGGGAAUAAAGUGAGUCUCGUGAGACUUUUUGCAUGUACCUUAUGAAUAAGGACCGGCUAAUUCCGUGCCAGCAGCCGCCGUAA